rnacentral:rRNA from 1 species
UUGAACGCUGGCGGCAUGCUUUACACAUGCAAGUCGAACGGUAACAGGCCUUCGGGUGCUGACGAGUGGCGAACGGGUGGGUAAUGCAUCGGAACGUGCCCAAUCGUGGGGGAUAACGUAGCGAAAGUCACGCUAAUACCGCAUACGCCCUGAGGGGGAAAGCAGGGGAUCUUCGGACCUUGUGCGAAUGGAGCGGCCGAUGUCAGAUUAGCUAGUUGGUGGGGUAAAGGCCCACCAAGGCGACGAUCUGUAGCGGGUCUGAGAGGAUGAUCCGCCACACUGGGACUGAGACACGGCCCAGACUCCUACGGGAGGCAGCAGUGGGGAAUUUUGGACAAUGGGCGCAAGCCUGAUCCAGCCAUGCCGCGUGCGGGACGAAGGCCUUCGGGUUGUAAAGCACUUUUAGAGAGGAUGAGGAAGGACGGUACUCUCUGAAUAAGUCUCGGCUAACUACGU